GCCGGCUUAGCUCAGCUGGUAGAGCAUCUGAUUUGUAAUCAGAAUGUCGUUGGUUCGAUUCCAAUCAGCAGCUCCA
rnacentral:tRNA from 1 species